GUUGAUUGGAGUUCACAUACUUGUUAGAAGCUUCAAAAGUUGAUUUGGAAGUGUUUGGAGUGAAAAAAAAUUUAUUUGUUCACAAGAGGGCAUUCUGAGAUUUUACUAGUAUAAAAUUAUUUUGUUGAUUUUAAGCACAUGGAGACUCUUUUUUUUUGAUAUUUUUUUGUAGACCUCUUCUAAGACAUGGCUUCAAGUAAGGGUGAAGGUUUGAGAGUGAUUGAAAAGUUUAGAGGUGACUAUUUCUACCAUUGGAAGGUCAAAAUAGAGCUUUUGUUGGCAACUUUGGACCUU
rnacentral:lncRNA from 1 species